UAUUGAGACAAAAUUCCCCAUGUUCGUUGCGUUCACAGGUCCUUCACAGAUGUUGUUGUAGAUAACACAUCCCUUCUUCAACUUCACUCUUCAUCCUCCUCUCUUCACCAUCAAUAAUUCUCACUUCCCUCUCCCCCCAUGGCCACCGGCGCCACCCUCCUCACCGACCUCCCUUUCCGGCGCCCUCACCCUCUCACUCUUCUCCGCCCCUCAGACAUUCCUUCUUUUUACCCACUCCACAUCUCUCUCCAAAACAAUCGCCUUCGCUCCCAUUUCCGAUGUUCAAUCGCCGAGGGCUCCACCGCUCUUUCCCCUUCCAACGCCUCUUCUCAAUCUUCCAUCCUGGAUUGUGUGGUCGUCGGUGGUGGAAUUAGUGGCCUCUGCAUCGCUCAGGCCCUUGCUACCAAACACCCCGAUGUUGCCCCUAACAUCAUUGUCACAGAGGCCAAGGAUCGCGUUGGAGGCAACAUUACUACGGUUGAGAGAGAUGGAUAUCUAUGGGAAGAAGGGCCUAAUAGCUUCCAACCUUCCGAUCCUAUUCUCACCAUGGUGGUGGAUAGUGGCUUGAAAGAUGAUUUAGUUCUGGGAGACCCAGAUGCACCUCGAUUUGUAUUGUGGAAUGGAAAGCUCAGGCCAGUGCCCGCGAAGCCUAAUGAUCUACCUUUCUUUGACCUGAUGAGCAUUGGUGGAAAAAUCAGAGCAGGCUUUGGUGCUCUGGGCAUUCGCCCUCCUCCUCCAGGUCGAGAGGAAUCAGUUGAAGAAUUUGUUCGUAGGAACCUUGGCGAUGAAGUUUUUGAACGUUUGAUAGAGCCAUUUUGUUCUGGUGUAUACGCUGGUGACCCUUCAAAGCUAAGCAUGAAAGCAGCUUUUGGUAAGGUUUGGAGGCUAGAGCAAAAUGGUGGUAGUAUUAUUGGUGGGACUUUCAAAGCACUUCAAGAAAGGAAUAAAACUACCAAGCCACCAAGAGAUCCGCGUCUACCAAAGCCUAAGGGCCAAACUGUUGGAUCUUUUCGGAAAGGACUUACCAUGUUGCCAAAUGCUAUUUCUACUUGCUUGGGCAGUAAAGUAAAAUUAUCUUGGAAGCUAUCUAGUAUCAGUAAAGUGGAUGAUGGAGGUUAUAGUUUGACAUACGAAACACCAGAAGGACUAGUCCCCAUACUAAGCAGAAGUGUCAUCAUGACGGUUCCUUCUUAUAUUGCCGGCACUCUGUUGCGUCCAAUCUCGGGGAAAGCUGCAGAUGCACUUUCAAAAUUUUAUUAUCCACCAGUUGCAUCGGUGACCAUAUCAUAUCCAAAAGGAGCAAUUAGGAAAGAAUGCUUGAUUGAUGGUGAACUUAAGGGGUUUGGUCAAUUGCACCCUCGUAGCCAGGGGGUGACAACUUUGGGAACUAUAUACAGCUCAUCACUUUUUCCUAAUCGAGCACCAGAUGGAAGGGUAUUGCUCUUGAACUACAUUGGAGGGGCUACUAAUACUGGAAUUCUUUCCCAGAAAGAGAGCGAGCUCAUAGAAGUAGUUGAUCGGGAUUUGAGAAAAAUCCUCAUAAACCCAAACGCAGAGGAUCCUCUACCAUUGAGCGUGAGGGUGUGGCCACAAGCCAUUCCACAGUUCUUGAUUGGCCAUCUUGAUCUUCUGGACACCGCCAAGGCCGGACUGAGAGAGGCUGGAAUGGAAGGGCUAUUUUUAGGUGGAAACUAUGUAUGUGGUGUGGCCUUGGGGAGAUGUGUGGAGGGUGCCUAUGAAGCUGCAGCUGAGGUAGCUGGUUUUCUGUCUAAAAAGGUGUAUAAAUAAAUAGCUACUUCUUUUUGCUUUCUACCAUUAGGCACAUAUCCAAACUGAUGGCUCUUCACGCCAUUGAGUUGUAACUUGUAAGGGAUGGUGAUCGUGUUUUGCAGUUGGGACCAGUAUCAACAUUGAAGAGCUUAGCAUAUCUUUGGAAGUAACCAAUGCGGUCAUUGACUCGAGCAUCAUUUGCAAUCCCACACUCGAGUCCGCCAUUGAUGAUGUUGGUGACCAGUCCAUAUCCUGCAGUUCGAUUUGCUUCUAUAUCAGCCUUUGUGGGAACGUAUUGCCCGACCAUGACGUCGUGGCACGAUGGCUUUGGCUUCUGCUCUGUCAUCCAGAACCACAGUGCGGUCUUGAAGGCCGUCGUUGGGUCCUCCGCCACUCUCUCUGGGUUCUUCAGUCCGUCGAAUCCUAAAGCCUUCCCCGCCGGCCCGUAGUUGAAAUUCCUGCUUGUUCGUCCAUUUCAUUUUGUUACUUUAUGUGUAAUGCAAUUUUGAAUUUUGUUCAUUAUUAGAGUUUACUAUUUUUAAGGAUUUUGUUAUGUUUUCAAAUUUU